rnacentral:rRNA from 1 species
UACGGAGGGGGCUAGCGUUGUUCGGAAUUACUGGGCGUAAAGCGCACGUAGGCGGCUUUGUAAGUUAGAGGUGAAAGCCCAGGGCUUAACCCUGGAAUUGCCUUUAAGACUGCAUCGCUAGAAUCGUGGAGAGGUAAGUGGAAUUCCGAGUGUAGAGGUGAAAUUCGUAGAUAUUCGGAAGAACACCGGUGGCGAAGGCGGCGAUCUGGGUCGAUACUGACGCUGAGGUGCGAAAGCGUGGGGAGCAAACAGG